rnacentral:rRNA from 1 species
GGAGGAAAAGAAACUAACAAGGAUUCCCCUAGUAACGGCGAGUGAAGCGGGAAGAGCUCAAAUUUGAAAUCUGGUGGCCUCAGGUCAUCCGAGUUGUAAUCUAUAGAAGUGUUUUCCGUGCUGGCUCAUGUACAAGUCCCUUGGAACAGGGCGUCAUAGAGGGUGAGAAUCCCGUCCUUGACAUGAACUACCAGUGCUCUGUGAUACAUUUUCAACGAGUCGAGUUGUUUGGGAAUGCAGCUCAAAAUGGGUGGUAAAUUCCAUCUAAAGCUAAAUAUUGGCGAGAGACCGAUAGCGAACAAGUACCGUGAGGGAAAGAUGAAAAGCACUUUGGAAAGAGAGUUAAACAGUAUGUGAAAUUGUUAAAAGGGAAACGAUUGAAGUCAGUCGUGCUCUUUGGAUUCAGCCGGUUCUGCCGGUGUACUUCCUUUGAGUGGGGUCAACAUCAGUUUUGAUCGCUGGAUAAAGGCUGGAGGAA